UGGAGCCCCUUCUGCAAUGGGCAUUACCACCAGCCACCAGAACACAGGAGUCUGGGGGAGGUCCUUGUUCGUGUCCUUGGUUCAAGUGACAGAUGUUUGUACACUGGCUUUAAAAGUCCCAGUUCUAGCAGUGACUCAUGUGCAUAUCACUGACAUCUAUUGUUUUCAGUAUAAGCUUUUAAAAAAAUGCCAGGAAACCUCUUGUCUAUGCACCCUGUUACGGAGGCGUUCAAUGUCUGAGCUGCAAAGUCAAGCACUGAAGGAGUCAGACUCAGUGUUUGCUGCCUCUCCUUUCAGGCUCCUUCUCAGUCGUGUAUCACAAGUGGUUGUUUUUUCUCCAGUGCAGCACUUGAUCAGCACUCAAGGUUGGACACACCUGGGGCAGGAAUGGAUCGUGCAGCAUGACUGGCACCACGAGCACCAGGCACCUGGUCUGUGCCAGAGGUUAGAAAGUGUGCAGGAAUCUGGUGGGAGACUGAAGGAGGUAAAAAGGAUGGAGGCAGAUCUCAAGGCUGAGGUAUUUAAAAGCUCUCAGUGGAGCUGGACUCAGUCCCUGGUGCCACAGUGUCUGUGAGAUGUUAGACAAGUAAGUUAGAUUUUCUGAAGAGGCCAAGUCCAAAUCAAGCAGAAGCUGAAUGACACCUUUGGUAUGCUGGAGCUGGCUUUGCAGACCUGCUGUAGCAGCAGUCAGUGUUCAGGUGUGCCUGGUCAGGGGACACUGGUGGCUCAAGGGGUGACUCUGAACCCCUGAGUGAGCUAGUUAUGAAAAGGGCAAAUGUAUAGUGGUAUCAACAUGUUCUUUGUCAUAGGCACCCGAGCCCCAAGGGUGUGAAGUAAUAUUUUUGAUAGAUACAGAGAAAUGUCAGGUGAAAUAACUUCUUGGAGAGGACCAAGCUGUGUGAUUUAUUUAGUCUCAAAGUCAAGGUUGAAAGAGGACAGCAGUGCACAGCAGCAUGCACAGCAGUGUGGAAGAGAGGUAAUCAAGCUCUGAACAAUACUGGCAUAAAAACAGAUUUUUACACAUCAGCACGGAAUCAUUUCAUCCUGGCAGUUGGAAGAAGGUGGGGUUUUUUAGCCAUAAGAACAGCAUGGCAGGAAGAGAUGGAAGAGACAACUCAUUUUAAAAGACAACUCCUAUAGUUUAGAAAUAGAAAGGAACUGAUACAGUAGAUUACCAUGUUAUGACUAGAUAUGAAGCUGAUGGUCCAGAAGCCCAUAGGAAGUACUGUAGUCUUCUGAAAAAUCAGCUUUAAUGUACAGAAAGAUCAGAGCCCUAGUUUAAAGAUGCUUUGUACAUUUUGUUUGUGCUCUGUGGAAAGGAGGGAAUGCUGACUUUCAGAUUAAUUGUUAACUCCAGACUCCAGUUCUUCUGGAGUACUCUGCAAUAGGUUAAUGUCUCAUAACAUUUCCUAUGAGGAAAUCUGGUAAUUGUGCCUCUGCCAGUGUUUGAAUAAAAUAUAUUGGAGUUGUACAAUAAAUCAAGAGGCGCACAAAUCCCACACCAUUAUCCCAACAGUUUUUGCCCUUUUUUUUCCUUGAGAUGAGCUGAAGGGAAAGGAAAGGUGGGGUGUGUUUGUGUAAACAAAGGCUGUGUGGUUGUUCACUUGCCAUGGGUAGAAAUCCCAGCUGUGCCAGCAAGUGCAGGAUGUGGGACCACCCAGCCCUAGCACUGCCCUCCCUGUGGCUGAGCUGCCUUUAAUCCUUUGCCAUACAGCUGUAAAAUGAUUAGUCCCUUGUUUAUUUAUGCACAGGCAUGACACUAUUUUCAGGUGGGCUCUGGAUAGGAUCUGAAGGGCAGCACUUGUUAAAGUAAUGGGAAAGGGCUGUGGGAGAUCAAUCCAAGUACAGCAGAGGCCUCUCUGAUGGAAGAUUUGAAAACCUUUCCUUGGCUUUUCACAGUCAUUUCAGCUGCUGCUUGAGGAGGGGUGACUUGACUGAAUUGUUGUUGCUUGGAGCUGUCAAAGUGUGUCUGGUCAUGCCUGAACUUACAGCUUCACAGAUUCCUGCCAGGAGGGAUUCCAGUUCUGAGACAUUGAGCUCCUGAGGGCUGACCUUGGAGCACUCCUCAGUAUGCAGAGAAUAAAACUCCUUUACUGGCUACUGAGCCGUUCAAAUAUUCAGCUGAUGUUAACAUACUGAAAAAUUACUGUCUAUAUAUGAUGGGAUACUGCAAGACAAAGCAGGAUCUCCUCGGGUAUCUCUGCCAAAGCUCCCCCUCACAUCCUCGGAGGACUGGCGAAGCCACCCACACAUCACUGCUCUGGACAGCACGGGCCAGCAGAUCCUGCACUGGAUUUACAGUGCAACAGAUGGCUUGUGAGUUUGGCUCCAGCCCUCAGCAUUGUCUUUUUAAUCACCCCUGCUGUCUUCUGAACACUAACCAGGAUGAUUCCAAGCUCUUUCUGACAGACAAGCAUUUAUUUUAUAGGCUGUUGCACUUGUAGGCGCACACACACUGGAAAUGCUUUUCACUAAGAGCAACACCUCAUUUUACAAUCAACCUUGGGUUCCAGAAUUAACUGAAUAUCCCCCACAUUUUCCACUUUCCUGUGACUCUCUUCUCCUUCUCCAUAUCCAGCCCUACAAAUCUUGAGAUGACAGUGCUAGUAACUUCUCUCCACUGUGAAAACUGGUGAAAAGAUAAGAAACAGAACAGAGAAUAAAUGGUCAUUUAUUAACACUCAUAGAUUCUUCCUACAGUGACUAAGAGAGCAUGAGUCAAGGCUUUUUGAGAAAGGAUUUUCCAAAUAUCUCAUAAAAUUAAGUAUAUCAUCAAGACCUUCUUUGUCUGCAUGAUCAUUCACUCUUUAUAACAACAGAUUUAAAAGUUAUAACACCUCUCUAUCCCAGCCAUGUUGAUGUAAAUCUGUAUUUUAUUCCUCUACAAACUGUUUGCUUUUUGUUGUACAUUGCAACCCUUCCUAGGGUGGGGAUGCUCCAAGGUGGAAACCAUUAAUUAGAUUUUAAGGAAGGGAGCUCGAAAUCAAUCCUGUGCUGUGAGAAGAGAGCUGAGUUGCUGACUUUGCCUUGAGGGAAGACCUGACACUAUCAGCCUUUUCCACUUUCAAGAUAAAUUCAAAGUUCAUGUGUAUCACAUAUGUGUCAAGCCACUGUAAGUUUUGCAUUACUAUCAGCCAAAUAAAAAGACAUAUUUCUGAUGACUGCAAAUGACACCUUUGAUUAGUGCAGCCAGUGGUGUAACUCACUGUGAAACAAUGAACUCCAUCACUUUGUACUUGCUACUUCCCAGUGACUCCAAAGUCUAUUUGAAGUAAGGUCUAUUUGAAGUAAGGAAUAAAAAAUGGAAAGAUGAUGCUGAUCUAGAGCAGCAACACUGUCUUCAUACCUAACCUGAAACGUGUUGGCAGAGCAGGAGUUCCAAGGAGCACUAACAUUUCCUCUCUUGAGAACAGAAUGCUUGGAUGAAGCCUCAGUCAAGAGACUCAAAGCUGAAAUUACUGCAUUAUCUUGUCCACAUGAAUGAAAAUUUAGCCAAGCUUGUACACAAGCCAGCCAGUGGCAGAAAGCCCAGCAGGUGUUUAUUCCCCAUCCUCCACUGCUACUAUCCCCACAACACGGAGAGCUUUCACAAUAUUUUGCUUUCUCUCUAUUCCCCACCCACUGUUGUAUUUAAAUGAUAAUUCCUUGCUAUUUAACCUCUUUAGGAUACUGAGCUCCAAGCUAGGACUCGAGACCUGCACACUGUUAGUGUGCUGAAGACCAAGAAACCAAGCCCUGGUACUGAAGAGAGUUGCUGUUCUCUUUACAUACUCACUGCUUCAAGGGCAAAUAUUGAAAGGACAGCUGUCGUGUAGCUGUCAACAUGAUGAAGAGGAUGUGUCAAGGGAUACAGGACUAUAUUCCAGUUCUACUAACCUCUGCUUACAGCAAUUACUUCAGCAUUAUUAAAAACAUUUGGCACACUAGCACCCAGUAACAUUCUUGCACACAAGAAACCAUGUUUCUCUCUUGGAAGGAUAGGACUAAAGAUAUAUUACAGCCCUCCCUAACAGCAGUUGGACCACCCCCAGCUUGAACCUAUCAUACCAUGCAGGCUUUAGGUGCCUCAAGGGAACUGAAGCACCAAAGGUUUUGGACAGAGCAUCUACCACAGCAGCCUUAGUCAGGACAGCAUGAUAUACUUUGGAUUCCUAGUGCAUUUUAUGUUUGAAAUAACCCUAAGACACCUCCUGAAAUGUUACUGAUAUGUUUAUAUCAUAAGUGACAAGAAUGGUAAACCGAAAAUUCAGGCUAAAUGCUGCUUCUGAUUUUGAGCAUGAUGAACAGACCAAAACUAAUUAACAGGCAACCUGUAGCAGCCAGCCGGUAACUGCAAAGUCAAGGCACAGCAUCCUGUCUCCCUUAAAGGAAGGAAGCAAAUUUGGGAUGUCCUUAGAUGACUUAUAUUCUCCUUGCUCCACCAGAACCAGCUAUGGGUCAUGUGAUUUUACCUCCCUUUCUUUACUUCUGAUAUCCCAAACUCAAAUCAGACAAACUUACCUCAAGUGACCCUGUGUGCUGGAAGCUGUUAUUUCACAAGAGCUAUUACUAAUCGGCUGAUGCGAUCCAGAAGAAUGCCUUCUGGUGUUCUGCUUUCUGGUAUUAAUCUGUGUCAACAUCAAGACAUUCAAGCCAAGCAAUUUAGGACUGAAAUUCAAAAUCAGGCAGUGGAGGAUAACCUCCUUGAUUAAACUAAAGUCUGGAAACAAAAGUCAUAAAUAUAUUACAACAUGGAACUGCAUGACCUACUUCUCCCUUCCUCAGUAAUAACAACUUCAGAGAUUUUACUAGUUAAAAAAUAAAUCCAAUUCAUUUCUUGUAGCCUAAAGUUAAGUAUUUUAACAUUGCAGCAAAAACCUUUUAAGUUGGGCAUUCACUUUCUCUGAGGGAAUGCAAAUCUGGAGGCUUUUUUUUCAUUAGAAGAAGGAAAGCGACCUUUAAUUUCAGCAUUUUAAAUUAUUGCCAUUUAAUUAAUCAAAUUUGCAUAAGUUAGCAGUGUAGCAUAGCUUUGAAAUUGUACUGAGGCACCAAAGUGAAGUUUGACUAUUCUGCCUCUCUCUCUCCUUUUUAAAAAUCUAUAUCUAAUGUGUUUAUAUGUGACAUUUUCAAGCUCCAAAAGGUUAAAAAACUGCAGGAAAUGGAGCUUCAGAAAAUUAAACUAAAAAUGAUUAUGUUAAUAAAAGCUAGAACUAACUCAAAUAUUUUUAAUUUUCCUGGGACAAAGAUUGCUGCUCCCUUCCAUGCACCAAUAGAAAUCCUUUCUGGCUCUGUGCCAUUGCACAAGAACCUGAGGGGAGCACUGGCUUUACCCAUGGCAGCUUAGCAGGUGACCAAUAAGCCAGGGCUUCUCUCCCUCCAUGCAGAUAUCUUUCUACACCAGCAAGUUCCUUGAUAGAGAGAG